CAAAGAAUUUACGGCACACUUCCGCAAAGUCCAACAAGGCUGUUGAGAAAUGAGUCCAAGUAGAUCUCUGUAAAAGAAUAAUCAAUAAUAAAAAAUAAAUGUUUAUCUUGAAAGUAGACACAAGCCUGGCAUAUCCUGAAGUUGGAUCACUUGGUAGUUCUUAGCAUUAAUUGAGAGAGGGCUGGCCCUAAGCCACGGCACAGUUGUAGUUUACCCCAUUGUAAACCUGGGGAUGUUAGUAAUCAUCUGUUUUUGUGGAGGGCGUGAUCUGUUGGUUCUAGACAGACAAAUAGCAAAAGCUGAAGAACAGAUUUGCAAAUCAGACUGGGAACACUUGGACUUGUGGAACCCUUCGUGGCACCUACUCAUCUUGCACACUUCCUCAACCAGAGGCAUCAAGACCUUUCCUUCCUGAUUGUCCCUUUGUGCAGUGCUCUGAAAGUUGCAGAGGAGUCGGGAGCAGCUUGCUAUAGGCUCUAGGAGCAUUCCAGGUUCAGUCAAUGUUGUGGACCUGAAUAGUCAGCUGCAGAAGAAGUGUGACUGAUGCUGGCAACAGAACCUGAGAGCUUUGUGCUGGCUGUGUGACUCGUGUGGAUUCUCUGCUGGGAGUGACUCUGUUGCUUCCAUCCCCAUUUUGUCUUCUAAUCCCUGAAGAAUGUUCAUGGUGCCAUAGGAACUGAGCUGGCAGGUAAGUUACUGCUCUUUAUACCUCUGGAGAAGGUUGGUUUCAGGCUUUUUCCCCUCCCCAUCCAUGCCCAGCCUGGUGCUGCAGCCUCUGCAGGCCUACAAGUCUGCCCAAAAUUGUGUCCCAGUAGCCAAAUUGGAUCAUAGAACCAUGGGAUGA